UAAACAUUUCAUGUUUAUAAGAGUUUGAUUUCACACUCGUUUUGUCUCGUUUUGGUUUUUCUUACUUCUGAGACAGUAAAAAGAAAAGCAAAUCGUUAUGUAUCCAUGCAGCAUUUUUAUCUUUACUUUUUAUCUCAUUGCAUGUGUUCGAUGUCAGGUAAUCUUGAAGCAGCCCGAAGCAGAACAGAGACAGCCCGGCCAGUCCCUCAAACUGUCUUGUUCGAUUUCUGGGUUUACUUUCAGUGGCAGUGGCUACUACCUGAACUGGAUCAGACAACCUCCAGGAAAAGGUCUGGAAUGGCUGACAAGUGAAAGAGGAGAUAAAAGAUACACGUACUACGCUGACUCAAUCAAAGGGAGAUUCACCAUCUCGACGGACAGCAAUGGCGCAUAUCUGCAAAUGAACGCCCUGACAGCGGAUGACACGGCGGUGUAUUACUGUGCUCGAGAUGCACAGUGAUGCGUGCAGUUGGCUUGUGUUUACAAAAA